CCUAGGACUAAGUAGAGCCUUCACCCCACAGCGGGAGGGCACCCUGAUGGGCACAGCCAUUGGCACCUGCUUCGGCUACUGGCUGGGAGUCUCAUCCUUCAUUUACUUCCUUGCCUACCUGUGCAACGCCCAGAUCACCAUGCUGCAGAUGUUGGCACUGCUGGGCUAUGGCCUCUUUGGGCACUGCAUUGUCCUGUUCAUCACCUAUAAUAUCCACCUCCACGCCCUCUUCUACCUCUUCUGGCUGUUGGUGGGUGGACUGUCCACACUGCGCAUGGUAGCAGUGUUGGUGUCUCGGACCGUGGG
rnacentral:sRNA from 1 species